rnacentral:lncRNA from 1 species
AAUUCUGUCUGGACACAAAGGAAAAAUCGGAAUUGGCAGAUACUCUCUCGGUUACUCCCUGGUUGCAGUUAAUGAGCAGCCUGUUCGCCUGCAGCCUUUAGACAGGGAACAAGGGGCACAGCUUUUCCCACUUUAUUGGUUACUGACUGGGAAAGAAGGAUUCCACUAGCACUGCUUGGCUAUCAAAGCUGGGCAAUGUGAUCCUCUAAGCCACAUGUUUAGGAAUUGACAAACAAUUGUGGAGGUUGGCAAUUCCAAAAUCUGAGGAGUAGGUAAACUGGAAGACUAGAGACCCUGGGAAGAGUUGAUGUUACAGCUUGAAUCUGAAGGCAGUCUGCUGGAAGAAUCCCCUCUUUCUUGUAGAAGCCCCUUGACUGGGCAAACUUCAAACAAGUGACUGAGCUCCCUUAGCUGCCACUGAUUGGACCAGGAUGGACAACAAAUGUAGGAGGAGUUCAUCUGGAUCUAGCCUGAGCCAGUCAGAUAUCCCCUUUGAAUCCAUGCCUAUAGAAAUACAAAAAAAUGGAAGCCAGAGGAUGAUGGAUCCUUGAAGUAAUAAGUCAGGUAGAUCUUGAAAAUUUUUGACUCAAUCCAUAUUGAUGAACACAAGAAUAAUUCUGGUCUACAAAGAGAGGCAAGAGAAAGACUUGGGGUGUAUUAAGAAAAACAGCUCUGUGGAAGUUUGAGUGACUCAUUGCAGAGAGGAAUUGAUGAAGUCAACAGCUGCUGGAAAAACUUCUUUUUCCUUAAUAGCUGUAUCAACAUGUGGUUGCUAUUAUUCAAAGUGGAUGAAAUAAUUCUGCAAGCCAGUGGGAACAGGAAGCUUCAUGAAGAGGAGAAAGGCUUAGGGCUCAGAAACCGCACAGAGCAGGAGGAUAGAUGAAUGUAAGGAACAGAGCUUUGAGGACAGACACCCCUGGAUUAGACAAUAGCUCCAAAACUUAUUAAUGAUGGUGAAUGGGUGACUUUCUAAAACCCUUUAAACCUUAUUUGUAAAAUGGGACCAUCAAUAUCUAUUUUGAAAUCUUGUAUAAAUUUGCAAUAAUGUCUGUAAAGUAUCUGACAGGAGCUCAGAAAUGACACAAUUCUUUAAAUCCACUCACACCCAACUUUUAAACAAAAAGUAGCAGUAUAUCCUACACACGAUUUUUAAAUUUUACUAUUUAAGUUAACAUCAUGCUAUGAACAUAUUUCCAUGUCAUUAAAUAUUCUAUUCCAUCCAAUAUUUAAAAGCUAAUAGAAGUCUGUUAAAUGCAUAUGCCAUAAUUUAUUUAACCAAUUCGGUUGUUUUAAUAUUUAUGUUGUUUCCAAUAUAUUAUGCUAUUGACAAUAAAAUGAUGAACAUUUAUGAUGAUGAA